AAGACUAUAGACCUGCGGAGUACCUGCGGAGGGAUCAUUACCGUAUCUAUGAUGGGGUGCGGAGCGCCCUGCUCCGGUCGAACGGCCGUGCAGCGGGUGCGCCGCCCCCGUCCCACCUCACAAACCCACUGUGAACAUUCACCGGUGGAGGGGGCUCGGUCUGCGCCGUGUCCCCGAUGCCGAAUACCCAAACUCCAGUUGCAAAGAACGUCGUGCGGACUCGGUGCCGCCUAAAACAUG
rnacentral:misc_RNA from 1 species